rnacentral:rRNA from 1 species
CCGGGGUGCUCGAGUGGCGAACGGGUGAGUAACACGUGGGCGAUCUGCCCUGCACUUCGGGAUAAGCUUGGGAAACUGGGUCUAAUACCGGAUAGGACCAUCGUUUAGUGUCGGUGGUGGAAAGUUUUUUCGGUGUGGGAUGAGCUCGCGGCCUAUCAGCUUGUUGGUGGGGUAAUGGCCUACCAAGGCGUCGACGGGUAGCCGGCCUGAGAGGGUGUACGGCCACAUUGGGACUGAGAUACGGCCCAG